UUUUGUCUUAGUUUUGUCGUUCUGAAUCCAACGAGACCUUCCGCAAGGUCGUAGCUCUUCUAAUAGCUGAGAUAUGGCAAUUUUGAUGCCCAUUUUUGGCCUCAAAAACGGACGUCGAAAACGACUUUUUCAGGAUUUUCAAAGUGCUCUCAUUCCCUUAGUUCUGCUCGGAUCCUGUUAUAACCCGGUGUUUUCGUGAUCUAGGUGAUCAGAAUAAGACGUUG